AACCCGUCCCGGCCCGGGAACCCGCGGGUUGAACCCGUAAACCCGUAAUGCUAUCAACGGCUGAGAUCGUAAGAUCUAACUUCUCUCUUAUAUAACUCCUCAAACAAAAAAUUUCUCAGUUCCUCCAAAACCUAAAAUCUCCGCUGCGGCUCAGAAGAAGGAAACGAAAGGCUUUCUAGGGUUUUCUUCAUCAUGGUUCUCUCAAAUGAUAUCGAUCUGUUGAAUCCAAAACCUGAUUUGGAGAAGAGGAGGCACAAGCUUAAGCGUUUGGUUCAAUCCCAAACUCCUUCUUCAUGCCUGCCUGCCUGUCAACGAAACUGCUUCCCAUUCAGUUUGUAUGUAUUUGAGAAUAAUUUUGGAAACGCUUUAACUUGUUGGAUGUUUUUGAGAUGUCAAUGUUCCAAUUUGCUUGAUCACUUUAAUGGGAGGACAUCAUUUGCAGUCUAAGAGACACUCCCUAAUUGAUGUUGCGAUCAAAUGUGAACUCAGACUGUCUCGGAGACUUUUCGAUUUGUGAUGGGACAUUCUUUCCGUCUCUCCACGAUGAGAUGUCUGCAAUUGUGGGUUGUUUCAACCGGCGUGCACAGAACCUGCUACAAGUUCAUUUAUCUUCGGGUUUCAGAAAGUAUUUUACAUGGAUUAAGAGAAAACUUGUGAAAGGAAAUCACGUUGCUAUGGUUGAAGAAGGCAAAAAAGGUUUACUACAUAUCUUUGCAGGUUAUGCGGUUGGAGGAGGACAUGUAUUGCAUAUGGUUUGUGAUUUAACAAUAGCUGCUGACAAUGCCGUUUUUGGCCAGACAGGUCCAAAGGUUGGAAGUCUUGACGCAGGUUAUGGAAGUU